rnacentral:rRNA from 1 species
GAUGAACGCUGGCGGCGUGCCUAAUACAUGCAAGUCGAGCGAACAGACGAGGAGCUUGCUCCUCUGACGUUAGCGGCGGACGGGUGAGUAACACGUGGAUAACCUACCUAUAAGACUGGGAUAACUUCGGGAAACCGGAGCUAAUACCGGAUAAUAUAUUGAACCGCAUGGUUCAAUAGUGAAAGACGGUUUUGCUGUCACUUAUAGAUGGAUCCGCGCCGCAUUAGGUAGUUGGUAAGGUAACGGCUUACCAAGGCGACGAUGCGUAGCCGACCUGAGAGGGUGAUCGGCCACACUGGAACUGAGACACGGUCCAGACUCCUACGGGAGGCAGCAGUAGGGAAUCUUCCGCAAUGGGCGAAAGCCUGACGGAGCAACGCCGCGUGAGUGAUGAAGGUCUUCGGAUCGUAAAACUCUGUUAUUAGGGAAGAACAAAUGUGUAAGUAACUAUGCACGUCUUGACGGUACCUAAUCAGAAAGCCACGGCUAACUACGUG